rnacentral:sRNA from 1 species
CUUACCUAGACAACAGGAUAGGUCAGAGUUAGAGGAACCGAAACAGUUCAGAGCCCACCCUACCCAGGAGAUGGCCUGGAACCCUGCAGGUCUCCAGGAGUGGUGACAGCAGUGGUGGAUAAACUGGACAAGGAGGCAUUUCAGAAGCUCCAUGCAGAAGACAACCCCUAACUCCAGAUGACUGAUUCUCUCACAAAUAAAAGGACAAAGAUGUCAAAGCUCUCAGCUAUCAACAUGCUUGUCUGCUUCCUGCCAUGAUGAGGGUGGACUAACCCUCAGAAACUGUAAGCUUAAUUUAAAUGUUUAGCUUAAGCUUAAGUUAAAUGUUUUCUCUUAUAAGAACUGUCUCAGUUCUGGUGUCUCUUCAGAGCGGUGGAGCAGUGGCUGAGACACAGAGGAUCUCUGGAGCAAGCUGGCUAGCCAGACUAAUUGUACUGGUGAACCCUGGGUUCAAUUGAGAGACCCUGCCUCAGUGAACUAUUGAAGAGCAAUUGAGGAAGAUUUCUAAUGUCAUCCUCAGGACUGGGGUCGUCAUCACUGGAAGAGCAGCGACCGCCACUCCAGAUGCUUGCUCUCUGUGAAUAGCAGCAGAUUGUGUCAGGGCGCUGAGCCCUGAACCUCAGCACCAAGGGGAAUGGCAGAGCAUCAACUCAGGUACGCUCCCAAAACAGGCAACGUUGUUCAGCUGAAGGCCGUACAGUUCCAGUGAUUCCAGGGGGGAUGUUUCUGUGUUUUGCACCUCUCCUGCCACCUAGGGUGGGGUCCAUGGGCAUGGUCUCUCCCUAAAGAUAAGGAUAGCAUCUAACAGAUGUGGUGUGGUCUGGGCAGCAUAGGGUAUGCAGACGGUGAGGUCAUGUGUGGAGCCUCAUGAGUGGGAAUGGUCCGCUGGCAUCCCGUGUUGAGGGAGGAGAGAUGAAACUGCUGUGUGCUCUGCCCGGAACCACCUUCCUCCCACCUGAACUGUUUGUGGUACCUGUGCACUUGCCUGCGUGGUAGCUCUUAGUGGAAGCCAUAGGCCUCACCUGCUGCUGCAAGAGGAGUGAGGCAUGGCCACACCCCAACCAAGAAAGCUGGAGCCUAGCUUUGGGCCCCUCUCAUGUUGUAAUGCUAAGGUCCACUUCCUUUAUCACCAGGAGUGCUCUCAGGACAAAGUCUGUACACAUCAUCUUCUAUGAUUUCUGGGCAUCUAUUCUAUUCUAGUGGGAGGGUAUCUCCACAGACAGUCAUCCCUCACGUGUCCCUCUAGUCCUGAUUCUGUGCCUGAGCCAGGAAUGAGGGUCAAGGGAUGCCUCACAUGUUUAGCUGCUGGUUAGCAUGGGAGGAGAGUCCAGGCUCCAGAUCCCUGGGUGGCUAGAAUGUCUUCAGGAGCCUCUGUGCUUGUCACCUGGCUUGUCCACUGUCUUAGCCUUGAACUCUUGGAUGCUUCUACACAGAGACCCUGUCUUGUGCCUGAAGCCAGAUCUGGCCAAUGACUUCUCAGAAACAGUCAAAUACUAACCCUAGAACCUGUUCUUGUCCAUGGCCUCUCCCCAUGCCUCACCUCUCUCAUAAACGUAUGGUGGCGUACAUAUCAUGAGAACUGGUCUUCCUUCCCUAUCUCAUGUGUAGACACAACCUUGCUGCUUGAAAGCUGUGAGGUGGAAACACAGCUGGGGUAGGGGAGUUAACUGACCAUGCCAUGUGGUCAGGACUAGUCCAGGGGUAGUCAGGUAAUCAUUCCUUAUUGUGCUGCUAUCAACAGAGGAGUCUUGGGGGCAAGUACAUCCUGUGUUUGCUGCAUCUGUGGUAUACAUGAUCUCCAUGGCAGGAUCUCUUAUCUACAUGGGUUUUGGGGGUCUUCUCAUUGCCACCAAUGAGAAUGUCUGCUAUGCCUGCAGACUGUCUGACCUGCUGUACCACCUGUUGGCUCAUGCCAGUCACUCCUGAAACUACACAGAGCUGACAGGUGGGUAGUAAACCCAGGAGAGAGGACCCAGGACAUCUGUGUGCAAAAAAGUGGCUUCAGGUGACUCUGCCUGCCUCAGUUAGGGUUUUAUUGCUGUGAAGAGACACCAUGACCAAAGCAACUCUUAGACACAAAACA